ACGGAAGGCAGCAGUGGGGGAUAUUGCACAAUGGGGGAAACCCUGAUGCAGCGACGCCGCGUGAGCGAUGAAGUAUUUCGGUAUGUAAAGCUCUAUCAGCAGGGAAGAAAAUGACGGUACCUGACUAAGAAGCUCCGGCUAAAUACGUGCCAGCAGCCGCGGUAAUACGUAUGGAGCAAGCGUUAUCCGGAUUUACUGGGUGUAAAGGGAGCGUAGACGGUUUGCCAAGUCUGAUGUGAAAGCUAGGGGCUCAACCCCUAAACUGCAUUGGAAACUGGUAGACUAGAGUGUCGGAGAGGUAAGUGGAAUUCCUAGUGUAGCGGUGAAACGCGUAGAUAUUAGGAGGAACACCAGUGGCGAAGGCGGCUUACUGGACGAUAACUGACGUUGAGGCUCGAAAGCGUGGGGAGCAAACAGGAUUAGAUACCCUGGUA
rnacentral:rRNA from 1 species